rnacentral:lncRNA from 1 species
GCAAAAGCGAAAGCUGCGCCUUUAUAUCUCCAAUACUUUUAACCCUGCGAAGCCUGAUGCGGAAGACUCUGAUGGCAGCAUUGCCUCCUGGGAGCUGCGGGUGGAGGGGAAGCUCUUGGAUGAUGUAUGUCCUGGUCCAAGCCUCUCCAGGUGUCCUGGUGUGGGUAUGGGCUGAGUCAGGGUUAGGACUAAAUGUCUGCACUGGGAAUUGGGAGUCAGCCCAGGCUGGGGCGGGUGGGCCUGGGGACAGUCUGGGGACAGAGGGCUGCCUCUGAGUAUACUACUUGCCUGCUGCCAACUUGGCCCAUUCUGUGUCCAUGGUCCCUGUUCUGCCCCCACAGUCCCUGUCACUUUCCCACAGCCUAGUAAGCAGAAGAGGAAGUUUUCUUCCUUCUUCAAGAGUUUGGUCAUUGAGUUGGACAAAGACCUUUAUGGCCCAGACAACCACCUUGUUGAGUGGCACCGGACACCCACAACCCAGGAAACAGAUGGGUUCCAAGUGAAGAGACCAGGGGACUUGAGUGUGCGCUGCACCCUG